CCCCAGUGUGAACAUUACCUUUUCUGUUGCCUCGGCGGGACUCGCCCCGGGCGCGUCCCAGCCCCGGACCAAGGCGCCCGCCGGAGGAAAACACCAAACUCUUUUAUCUGAACCUGCCUCUGGCGGGGGAAUUUAAUUACUUCUGAAAACUUCUUAAAUGAAUCAAAACUUUCAACAACGGAUCUCUUGGUUCUGGCAUCGAUGAAGAACGCAGCGAAAUGCGAUAAGUAAUGUGAAUUGCAGAAUUCAGUGAAUCAUCGAAUCUUUGAACGCACAUUGCGCCCGCCAGUAUUCUGGCGGGCAUGCCUGUUCGAGCGUCAUUUCAACCCUCGAGCCCCUCCGGGGGCCCGGCGUUGGGGACCGGCCCCGCCCUUCGCGGCUGCGGGCGCCGCCCCCGAAAUGCAGUGGCGGUCUCGUCGCAGCCUCCCAUGCGCAGUAGCUUUGCUAAUACGCUUCGCAGAGGGAGUGCGGCGCGGCCACGCCGUAAAACAACCCAAACUUCUGAAAGGUUGACCUCGGAUCAGGUAGGAAUACCCGCUGAACUUAAGCAUAUCAAUAAGGCGGAGGAA
rnacentral:rRNA from 1 species